rnacentral:rRNA from 1 species
UUUCAAACUGGGACUUUAGAUCCCAGUGAUCUCAGGUUAGAGACAUAGUCAGGUGGGGAGUUUGGCUGGGGCGGUACGUCUGUGAAAAGAUAGCGCAGGCGUCCUAAGAUGAACUCAAUGAGAACAGAAAUCUCAUGUAGAACAAAAGGGUAAAAGUUCAUUUGAUUUUGAUUUUCAGUACGAAUACAAACCGUGAAAGCGUGGCCUAUCGAUCCUUUAUAAAAAUGUAUAAAUUCAAAGUUUGAAGUUAGAGGUGUCAGAAAAGUUACCACAGGGAUAACUGGCUUGUGGCUGCCAAGCGUUCAUAGCGACGUAGCUUUUUGAUCCUUCGAUGUCGGCUCUUCCUAUCCUUACGAAGCAGAAUUCGUAAAGCGUCGGAUUGUUCACCCGCUAACAGGGGAACUGAGCUUGGGUUUAGACCGUGUGAGACUAGGUUAGUUUUUACCCCUACUGGAUUAUCCAUGUAAAUACAUGUUAUCGCCAUA